AUGCACAACUUUGCCAUGGUUGUACUCCUCAUUGUCUUUCCUGAGUCUUGUCUCUUUGGGGAAAAACCUGCAGUUAAGAGUCAGCUGUUCUGCCUCCUGCUUCUCUGGGUCCCAGGUUCCAGAGGGGCCGUUGGGCUGACCCAGUCUCCAUCCUCCCUGGCUGUGUCUCCAGGAGAGAUGGUCACCCUGUCCUGCAGGGCCACUCAGAGCGUUGGUAAUAACAUGACCUGGUACCAACAUCCCCCAGGCCAGUCUCCCAGGCCCCUCAUUUACUAUGCUUCCACCCUGCACUCUGGGGUCCCUGCCAGGUUCAGUGGCAGUGGCUCUGGGACAGAUUUCUCUCUUACCAUCAGUGCUGUGGAACCAGAGGACAUCAGGGACUCUUACUGCCUGGAGUGGAAAAGCUGGCCUGUCCAGUGCUCUAGGGCUGAACAAAAACCUGCCCAGGCAGCUGCUGAGGGAGCCUCCACUGUCCCAGGGGAUCCUCCUUCCCCCACAGCUGGGGCAGCUUGUCUGGGCUGCCUCAGAGGGAGGUUUCUAGGUCUCACAGGAGUCUGCUGGGUCUGGUGUGGGUGCUGA